ACACUUUUAUAACUUUUAUAAAAUAUUCUCAAAGAAGUACCAAUAAAAGCAUAUUGUGGCAUCGCAAUAACCUCAGAAGUGGAAUAAGUAAUCCAACAACGACCUACAAUAUUUAUUCUUUCCAUAGGACCGUCAUAAAGCUGAAAAAAAAAAGCCACAAACGCCAUUUUCUUGGAGUUGUCUGAUGCAAUUCAAGGCACAAGAGGAAAAAACUGACAUCGUUGCACUACUGAAUCGCAAUUAUAUUAGUUUCCCUGCUUAUGCAACAAAAAGACAAUUAACAAUGAUUGCUGCGAACAACAAUAUUGAUUUGGAUCAAUUUGAGGCCUGUACAUCAAAAAAGGAAAAAUGUUAAACGACGCUAGAGAUAUUCUGUGCAGCAUAGUUCCGUUUGCUAAAGCGGAGACGAACGAUGCGCAUAAGUGGAUUCAGGAUUUCGUUGUGUUCGUUUGUUGAUGAAGCUUGAUUCAGAAGAAGAUUUGUUUAUACGGGUUGAUCAGUCGGCAACCUAUGCCGAUCUUAAAUUCAAUUUUUUUAGGACAUUUAGUGGCAGAAAUCAUCUCAUUUUUGAAGUCAACAGUGAAGUCUGGCCGCCCAAGCACUAUCCACUGUUAGUGGCAGACACGAGUUACGCUGCUACAAUUGUUCAGGUUUCGGACACUAGGCUUCUUCAUGUACUGAGCCCAUACAUGCAAAGGGCUCAUGCUCCAGUUGUGGAUCACUUUAGCACAUGAUAAAAGACUGCAAGUAGCAAGAAGUAAAAGCUUUGAAACUUGAGAGUGUAGCCAGCAACCCACAGAUAAGCGAUGACGAGCAUCUAGUUGUACCGAUAAUAAAUAAGAUGUUCCAUUAACCUUAUUCGACGCUCUACUUUGCCCAGUGAGAAUAGUACUACAAAAACCUUAUACCCAAGUGAAUAUUGUGGUAUUAAUGGAUCUCAAUUAUUAACAUUUGGGAAAAUUUAUCUUUACGUGAAGUUUGAUAAAAUUACAGAAAUUUCAUUGUUUCACGUUGUCCCAGAUAACUACUUAUAAACAGAUGUGCUAUUGGGAAGAACAUUUUUAGAAACAUAAAAUAUUAAA